UACGGGGGGGGCAAGCGUUGUUCGGAAUUACUGGGCGUAAAGGGCUCGUAGGUGGCCAACUAAGUCAGACGUGAAAUCCCUCGGCUUAACCGGGGAACUGCGUCUGAUACUGGAUGGCUUGAGUCCGGAAGAGGCGAGUGGAAUUCCUGGUGUAGCGGUGAAAUGCGCAGAUAUCAGGAAGAACACCCGUGGCGAAGGCGGCUCUCUGGGACGGUACUGACGCUGAGACGCGAAAGCGUGGGGAGCGAACAGG
rnacentral:rRNA from 1 species